UCAGCCUCAUCUGCAAGGCCUCAGGGUUCACCUUCAGCAGUUAUGCCAUGUACUGGGUGCGACAGGCACCAGGAAAGGGGCUGGAAUGGGUCGCUGGUAUUGAUGAUGAUGGUAGUUACACAUACUACGCGCCUGCGGUGCAGGGCCGUGCCACCAUCACAAGGGACAACGGGCAGAGCACAGUGAGGCUGCAGCUGAACAGCCUGAAGGACGAGGACUCGGCCACAUAUUACUGCGCCAAAAAUGCCUAUAGUGGUGGUGGUGGUAGGGGUUCUGUUGCUUAUGGGAUCGAUGUCGCUGCUGGAUACAGACCCUACGAUGCAGAUGGUCAUGGCCAUGGUUAUGGUUAUGGUCAUAGUCAUCAGCAUGGUCAUGGUCAUGGUUAUGCUGACAGAUAUAGAUGUGCAUAUUGAUAUGUAUGUGGAUGU